CACACACCAGCAGCAGCAGAAACAGUAGCUUGGGCCUGGCUUGGUCCCUGUAUGUGACAAGAAGCCACUUUUAGGAUGUCUCGCUUUCCCAGGUGUGGCCACAGCUGUCCAGAGGGCCAGAUGUUCCCACAUGGAAGCAAGAGUCCAGGUUCUACUUCAUCUAGAGAUUGGCCACCUGUGUGACUUGUAGAGGCCUCAGAUCACAAUGGAAACGUCGAGGGCUCUGUAAGCUCGGACCCUGAAGUCUACACUUCAGCAGGGACAUGGCUUUGAAGACACUUUCAAAUAUCAGCCAUAGUUACUCUUCCAGAAUACAGUAGUCUCCUUUGCUGACUUUUGUUUUUGGUUUAUAAAGUACCGGAAUGCCCCUCCCCCCAUGGUUACUGAGCCUCAGCAGGAAGGGGCUCUGCUGCCCUCUGCUGCCCACUUCAGACACUGCCCCCAGAGCUGACAGCGUGGGUCUGCUUGCUAUCCACGGGAAGGCCCUAACAUUUCACAGGGCAGAGGGUGAACAGGGGUGGAGGAGCACUUGAUGUCCUUCGGAUCUGAAAGAGCACAGAGAGGAGAUGGUGGCUGAGCGCGGCCGCCCACAGCAAAUGAACCCACCGGGGGCCCUCAGAAGCCCUUAGGGUGCUGCUGGCAACGGAACCACUCUUCACCUGGGCUCAGGGUCUCUGCUCACAAGAUCAGAAAUAAAAGAGGGGACUACGCAAA